rnacentral:rRNA from 1 species
GCAAGUCGAACGGUAACAGGAAGCAGCUGGCUGCUCCGCUGACGAGUGGCGGACGGGUGAGUAAUGUCUGGGAAACUGCCUGAUGGAGGGGGAUAACUACUGGAAACGGUAGCUAAUACCGCAUAAUGUCGCAAGACCAAAGAGGGGGACCUUCGGGCCUCUUGCCAUCGGAUGUGCCCAGAUGGGAUUAGCUAGUAAGUGGGGUAACGGCUCACCUAGGCGACGAUCCCUAGCUGGUCUGAGAGGAUGACCAGCCACACUGGAACUGAGACACGGUCCAGACUCCUACGGGAGGCAGCAGUGGGGAAUAUUGCACAAUGGGCGCAAGCCUGAUGCAGCCAUGCCGCGUGUAUGAAGAAGGCCUUCGGGUUGUAAAGUACUUUCAGCGGGGAGGAAGGCGAUAAGGUUAAUAACCUUGUCGAUUGACGUUACCCGCAGAAGAAGCACCGGCUAACUCCGUGCCAGCAGCCGCGGUAAUACGGAGGGUGCAAGCGUUAAUCGGAAUUACUGGGCGUAAAGCGCACGCAGGCGGUCUGUCAAGUCGGAUGUGAAAUCCCCGGGCUCAACCUGGGAACUGCAUUCGAAACUGGCAGGCUAGAGUCUUGUAGAGGGGGGUAGAAUUCCAGGUGUA